rnacentral:rRNA from 1 species
UCGCGGCGGUGCGCGCAGAAGGGUCUGGGCUCGAGCCUGCCUGGAGCCGCCGCCGGUGCAGAUCUUGGUGGUAGUAGCAAAUACUCCAGCGAGGCCCUGGAGGACUGAUGUGGAGAAGGGUUUCGUGUGAACAGCCGUUGCACACGAGUCAGUCGAUCCUAAGCCCUAGGAGAAAUCCGAUGCAAACGGCGAUGGGAAACGCACUGAACUCGAUUUACAUGAGACAGAGACCCAUUGAACGGGCGAAAGGGAAUCCGGUUCCUAUUCCGGAACCCGGCAGCGGAACCGUUGUUUGUCGGGCCCUCGCAAGGGGUUCGUCAGGGCAACCUAAAAGGGCCCGGAGACGCCGUCGGGGGCCCCGGAAAGAGUUUUCUUUUCUGCAUGA